AAAGAGUGCGUAACAGCUCACUGGUCGAGUGGACAUGCGCCGACAAUACACGGGGCUAAGCUGGACACCGAAGCGGCGGGAUUUUAAUUCAUUAGAAUCGGUAGGGGAGCUUCCCAUGGGCGGAGAAGCCGGAGGGCGACCGACGGUGGAGCGCAUGGGAGUGAGAAUGCUGGCAUGAGUAGCGAGAGACGAGAGAGUAACUCGUCCGCCGUGAACCCGAGGUUUCCUGGGCAAGGCUAAUCCUCCCAGGGUCAGUCGGGGGCUAAGGCGAGGCCGGGAGGCGUAGCCGACGCGCAGCAGGCAGACAUUCCUGCACCGCGCACGCGGCGCUACGACCGACGGGGCGACGGAUGGGGGUGGCUCGGCGGGGUUCUGGACGUCCCCGUGAUGGAGCGCGGCCCGCGGACCAGGGAAAUCCGGUCCGCAGAAGGGCGAGGCUCCGGACGAAGCACUUAAGCGAAGCGAGUGAGCCCGAGGUCCCUAGAAAAACCCCUAGGCAGGCGCGUGCGCGCCCGUACCGCAAACCGACACAGGUGGGUGGGUAGAACAUACCGAGGCGAUCGGGUCAACCAUGGUCAAGGAACUCGGCACAAUGGCCCCGUAACUUCGGGAGAAGGGGUGCCCGCGCGUACGUGAACCGGCUUGCCCGGGGAGCGGAGGCGGGCCGCAGUGGAGAGGCCCAAGCGACUGUUUACCAAAAACACAGGACUCUGCAGAAGCCGCAAGGCGACGUAUAGGGUCUGACGCCUGCCCGGUGCCGGAAGGUCACGCGGAGGAGUUAGCGCAUCGCGCGAAGCCCCGAAGCCAAGCCCCGGUAAACGGCGGCCGUAACUAUAACGGUCCUAAGGUAGCGAAAUUCCUUGUCGGGUAAGUUCCGACCUGCACGAAAGGCGCAACGACUUGGGCGCUGUCUCGACCAUGGACCCGGUGAAAUUGCACUGGUCGUGAAGAUGCGACUUACCCGCGGAAGGACGGAAAGACCCCGUGAACCUUCACUGCAGCUUGGCAUUGGCCGCUGGUCCCGCGUGUAGAGGAUAGGCAGGAGGCUAAGAUCCGGAGGCGCCAGCCCCCGGGGAGCCGCCCUUGGAAUACUGCCCUCGCGCGACCGGCGUCCUAACCCGAGGCCGUCAACCGGCUCGGGGACCGUGCCAGGCGGGCAGUUUGACUGGGGCGGUCGCCUCCUA
rnacentral:rRNA from 1 species